AAGAACUCUAAGCUCAUUAACCCUGGUCCAGCUGACUGAAUCCGCCAACGCCAAACUGCAAGUUUUCAACAGGUUGAACGGUCUCGGAGAAAAUAGGCUGUGGACCAAGGAGAUCAAUUUCCAGGAAAUCCAUUUAAUUUAAUUGGGGUUCCUGGAGAACAAGGAUAUCAAUUUCCAAGAAAUCCAUUUCAUUUUAAUUCGGUUCCUGUUCAUAGUUAGGGGUGAAUGCGAAUGCAACGCCAUGUGCCUGAUGUGAUUGCAAUUUUGAGAUGGCUGGAAGCCAAGAUGAUUAUUAGGGGUGUUUAUUGUCGGGUUCCAUUUCUUGAGAAAAUGAUCCGGAACGAACUGAAAAUCAAUUCAAAUUGAACAGUUCAGUUCGGUUCAUUCAAAAUCUUAAGGUUGUGGGAGCUUUAUACAUUGCCUGGAGUUUUUGUUUCAUUUAGGACCAGGCUGUGGGCUGUGAACAGGUGCGCUCCUUGAUUCGGCUAUACCAGACUUGGCAGCAGGCGCUCCAGGGCCUUUUGAUAUUCAGGAACAGUGAGAGACCAAGAAGACGACAUCCUGCACAAUGAUCAUUUUGCUAAAUGUUACGUUGGCUGCUAUAACUCUUUGCCUGCUCUUGGACUAUAAUUGGUCUCCA